rnacentral:rRNA from 1 species
UAGGGAAUCUUCGGCAAUGGACGAAAGUCUGACCGAGCAACGCCGCGUGAGUGAAGAAGGUUUUCGGAUCGUAAAACUCUGUUGUUAGAGAAGAACAAGGACGUUAGUAACUGAACGUCCCCUGACGGUAUCUAACCAGAAAGCCACGGCUAACUACGUGCCAGCAGCCGCGGUAAUACGUAGGUGGCAAGCGUUGUCCGGAUUUAUUGGGCGUAAAGCGAGCGCAGGCGGUUUCUUAAGUCUGAUGUGAAAGCCCCCGGCUCAACCGGGGAGGGUCAUUGGAAACUGGGAGACUUGAGUGCAGAAGAGGAGGGUGGAAUUCCAUGUGUGGCGGUGAAAUGCGUAGAUAUAUGGAGGAAAACCAGUGGCGAAGGCGGCUCUCUGGUCUGUAGCUGACGCUGAGGCUAGAAAGCGUGGGGAGCAAACAGG